GGGCGAGUGGCGGAAUUGGCAGACGCGCUAGGUUCAGGGUCUAGUGAGCUUCGCUCAUGGGGGUUCAAGUCCCCCCUCGCCCA
rnacentral:tRNA from 1 species